rnacentral:lncRNA from 1 species
UGGCAGAACCACUUCUGGACCUGUCCCUCUGCACCCCCCAUUCCAGCGCCCUCAUUUAACGUCCCUGACUCUGACCUGGGCUUGGGUCUGUCUCGGGGCCUGGCUGCCGUCCUGGGACGGGAAGGGGAGCAGAUCAGAACUCAGCCUGUGGCUCCAGGCCGCUGGGCUCUGGCUGGGCCUCACGUUCUCCUGGAAGGAUGGAGCGUCCUUCUGGCCUGGGCGUCUUCAGACCUUCAUCUGUGACCCCGGGGUCCAUGUGGCUCACCCCGAGGAAGAGACGAGGCCUUGCUGUGUUGCCCAGGCUGUUCUUGAGCUUCUGGGUUCAAGCAAUCCUCUCUCCUAAGCUUCCCAGAGUGCUAGGAUUACAGUGAAGACUAAAGGCCAAGCAUGAGCCUUUCUUCCUGCUCUUUUACCCUUGAGGCAGCAGGAGAGGAUAUUCACCUCCUGACAUGACAGAUUCUGACGCUAUCUGCUCCUCUGUGACUUUGGGAAGCGGGGUACGUGCUGCUCCUGGGCUGAUGGGGGAAGGUGCCUCUCCCAGCAAUGCUGGUGCCACUUGGUGUGCUACGGCCCCCCAGGGCAGUGCGGAGCCAUCUGGGACAGUUAGACAAUGAGAGAAGUGAAGCCAUUUCAAGGUGCUUCCUUGAAAAUGCUCCAGAACAACAGCAGAGGCGGCCUCUCUGGGGAUCCAGUCCAGCCCUUGAAAAGAAUCUGUUUGUUUCACCACUGAACUCAAAUAAGCCAACAGACUGAAGGAAGGGAGUUUCCAUGCACCCCUUCCCACCAAGCAGUUACCUGAGUUCUAGAGUCCAGGCUGAUGGGUCUCAUUUUACCCUGGUUUAAAUUGUUUCCUUAGAAAAAAUAAACAGAACCUCUUCUCUCACUCUCGAGUGGAAAGUGUAGAAUCAAACGUAAAUGAAAAUGACAGCUUCUAACAUGCGCGACCUGGACACACGGCUGAAUUCCGAGCCUCAGCUGUAGAGUGGGGUCAGUGCACCUACCUUGCAGCGUCA